rnacentral:tRNA from 1 species
GGCGGCGCAGGCAAAAGGUAAGCCACACGGGGUUGCAAUUCGUGAUAAUUGGGUUCGAUUCCCAACGCCGCCU